rnacentral:misc_RNA from 1 species
UUUUUUUUUUUUUUUUUUUUGGAGGUUGGACCUACUAAUAUCUGCCUCGCACUUUGUCAUAAGAGAUCAUAUUGGUCUCCUUCCAAUGCUUAUAGGAACUUCCUAUCAAUUUCCAAGCAAUAACCUAUUAUUAGAUGCUGCAGAUUCCUCCACUUCUUGCAUGGUUGGAAAGAUCUGUCUUUUGCCCUGUAUCCUUCUGUUGGUCUUGCAGAUAUCACUAUUGUUGGUCUAAAAUGAUAACAUUCUAACAGUUUCUUUCACUUUCACCAAAACAAAAGCUAUGUGAUGGUCAAUCUCUUGCAUGUGGCUUGUAUAUAGAAUUGUUUUCAAAGAAUUACCAAUUUGUUCUAUUCCAA